rnacentral:rRNA from 1 species
UACGAAGGGGGCUAGCGUUGCUCGGAAUCACUGGGCGUAAAGCGCACGUAGGCGGAUUGUUAAGUCAGGGGUGAAAUCCUGGAGCUCAACUCCAGAACUGCCUUUGAUACUGGCGAUCUCGAGUCCGGGAGAGGUGAGUGGAACUGCGAGUGUAGAGGUGAAAUUCGUAGAUAUUCGCAAGAACACCAGUGGCGUAGGCGGCUCACUGGCCCGGUACUGACGCUGAGGUGCGAAAGCGUGGGGAGCAAACAGG